rnacentral:rRNA from 1 species
GCUUGCGGGGUGCUAUACAUGCAGUCGAGCGGACAGAUGGGAGCUUGCUCCCUGAUGUUAGCGGCGGACGGGUGAGUAACACGUGGGUAACCUGCCUGUAAGACUGGGAUAACUCCGGGAAACCGGGGCUAAUACCGGAUGGUUGUUUGAACCGCAUGGUUCAAACAUAAAAGGUGGCUUCGGCUACCACUUACAGAUGGACCCGCGGCGCAUUAGCUAGUUGGUGAGGUAACGGCUCACCAAGGCAACGAUGCGUAGCCGACCUGAGAGGGUGAUCGGCCACACUGGGACUGAGACACGGCCCAGACUCCUACGGGAGGCAGCAGUAGGGAAUCUUCCGCAAUGGACGAAAGUCUGACGGAGCAACGCCGCGUGAGUGAUGAAGGUUUUCGGAUCGUAAAGCUCUGUUGUUAGGGAAGAACAAGUACCGUUCGAAUAGGGCGGUACCUUGACGGUACCUAACCAGAAAGCCACGGCUAACUACGUGCCAGCAGCCGCGGUAAUACGUAGGUGGCAAGCGUUGUCCGGAAUUAUUGGGCGUAAAGGGCUCGCAGGCGGUUUCUUAAGUCUGAUGUGAAAGCCCCCGGCUCAACCGGGGAGGGUCAUUGGAAACUGGGGAACUUGAGUGCAGAAGAGGAGAGUGGAAUUCCACGUGUAGCGGUGAAAUGCGUAGAGAUGUGGAGGAACACCAGUGGCGAAGGCGACUCUCUGGUCUGUAACUGACGCUGAGGAGCGAAAGCGUGGGGAGCGAACAGGAUUAGAUACCCUGGUAGUCCACGCCGUAAACGAUGAGUGCUAAGUGUUAGGGGGUUUCCGCCCCUUAGUGCUGCAGCUAACGCAUUAAGCACUCCGCCUGGGGAGUACGGUCGCAAGACUGAAACUCAAAGGAAUUGACGGGGGCCCGCACAAGCGGUGGAGCAUGUGGUUUAAUUCGAAGCAACGCGAAGAACCUUACCAGGUCUUGACAUCCUCUGACAAUCCUAGAGAUAGGACGUCCCCUUCGGGGGCAGAGUGACAGGUGGUGCAUGGUUGUCGUCAGCUCGUGUCGUGAGAUGUUGGGUUAAGUCCCGCAACGAGCGCAACCCUUGAUCUUAGUUGCCAGCAUUCAGUUGGGCACUCUAAGGUGACUGCCGGUGACAAACCGGAAGAAGGUGGGGAUGACGUCAAAUCAUCAUGCCCCUUAUGACCUGGGCUACCCACGUGCUACAAUGGACAGAACAAAGGGCAGCGAAACCGCGAGGUUAAGCCAAUCCCACAAAUCUGUUCUCAGUUCGGAACGCAGUCUGGAACU